CUGACCACGCCGAUUUGCAGCUGAAUGUUUGAAAUAGAUCAAAUACUUGACAAUCAAUGUUGAAAUUUCCCAACUGAACCUGUUGAACAUUGAAUGUUUCAUUUUUUAAAGUUGAAUUUCGUAUCCUCAGCCCCUUUCCUCCAGGCCACUCCCACAAUUGGUGAAAUCCAAGAUACAAAAAUUAGCCCAUUUCAAUACACACACAGUAUGUUUUACGGCACUUGAAAAAAAAAAAACCAACGCAUUACAAUUUAGUAUGGAGUAUGUCCAGUUAAUACCUGUAAUAAGGUUUGCAAAAAAAAAAAAAAUAAAAUUAAAAAACAGUGAUUAUAGCAUGACUGAAAAUGGGGAACUGCGACAUAAAGGGGGAUAUUUUGAUGGUUAAUAAGGAAAAUUGUGACAUUUAAAACGCGGCGGCACGGAAGUGGAUUUCAGUUGGACGGGCGCCAUUUUCGCUUCUCCGGAUGCCGUUUUGAGCCACAAUCGCAAGGUGGCGCUGUUUCCCUCCGCGUGCACUGCUUGGCUCGUCAUCGCUGCCCACACUUUCCGGUGUCUUUAUUGCGGCGGCGGCGGCGAGGUGAGCGCGCUCUGUGAAGCGGCGACGUUACAUCGGAUGCCGUCAACAGAUGUGACGUAAUGCGGAGGCGCCUGCGAGGACGUCAUCGUUGCCAGGCCAUUUGGCUUGCGAGGGGCUGUGAUGCAACUGCCGAGGUUCCGGACAGCCACUGCCCACUGACGGUAAAAUGAGGAGAGGAGGCCGGGCUAAACUUUUUAGCGAAGAGGUCAUCCUGUUGUGGGAAUUUCCCUCACUCCUGUCAGCAUUUGAGCAAGAAGUAAGGAAAAAGGCAGCGUGUGGAUCCAAGGGAACAAGGGCGGGGGGGGGGGCGGAAGGGGCUGGGGAGGCGGAGGGGGAGGGGGUUCAUCGCUUUGAGAGAGAGAGAGAGAGAGAGAGAGAAAAAAAAAAGAAAUUCCAUAAAUGUUUGAAUUGGAGCCAUACAAUCACAGCUUUCUUCAAAGUCGGCUUUAAUUGCAAGUCAUUGUUUACACAGCGCCCGUCUGACUUGAAUUAUUGUCUUGACAUAAUUAAUAUUGUAAGCACAGACAGUGAAGCAACACGUGUUGAUCAAUACACGAACACACAAAUUAAAACAUCCCUGCAUGGGCGGGUACACUAAACACUCUUCAUCAUUUACUGCUUAGAUCUCUGGGAAAAAUGAGAAAUUAAAAAAAAAAAAAAAAAAAAAAAA